ensembl:lncRNA
UCGGUGGCUGACUAAAUACUUUUUUGCCCCACUGUAUAAGACCCCUUGAAAAAUUAUAUAAAUGAAACUUGUAUGUUUUGGAUACUUACUAAAACAAUAUAUGAAAGUAAUGAGAAAGUGGCCACUUUCAUGAGUAAAUCAUACAAGCCUUAUAUGAUUCAAUAUAUGAAGUAGGCCACAUCUUAUGCAAGUCUCUUAUAAGUUUUUUCUAUUUCUUUUCCAUAUGGGUUGUAAGUGUUGUAUGUAAAACUGUCAGGACCCGGGCUCUCCAUUGGAUUCUAUUUCUCUGUUCAUUUCUCUCUCUCUUUGCUUUGUGUUCAAAGUCAUCUGUGGACGGGACUCCUCCUGAGUCUCACCCAACUCACCUGUGGCUGGUCCCCACCUGUUGAAGAUAAGCAAUCAUGGGCUCUUACUUAAGCCUAUUAUCCCAGCAGGGUACCUGCAGGGGACCGAGUGCUCAGUGAAUACCUCAGGCAGCAGAAACCCAAGAAAGAGGAGGGAGAUGAGGAACCAUCAUGGAAGGACAGGCC